CGCCUAAACCCAGCAGCAAUGCCGGGCAUGGCUCAAAAACGAUUGCGCGUAUUAAGCUCCUAGUCAGAGCACGCGCAAUCGUCAUAUCUCGAAAGGGGUAUGGGUCCCGCAAGGGAUC
rnacentral:sRNA from 12 species